rnacentral:rRNA from 1 species
CGGAAUUACUGGGCGUAAAGCGUGCGCAGGCGGUCCGCAAAGUCUGAUGUGAAAGCCCUGGGCUCAACCUGGGAACUGCAUUGGAAACUAACGGGCUCGAGUGUGGCAGAGGGGGGUGGAAUUCCACGUGUAGCAGUGAAAUGCGUAGAGAUGUGGAGGAACACCGAUGGCGAAGGCAGCCCCCUGGGCUAACACUGACGCUCAGGCACGAAAGCGUGGGGAGCAAACAGG